rnacentral:lncRNA from 1 species
GCUUGGUAUUGGUUCCUAUUCUAACUAGUCCAUCGCUGAUGAAUGGCGAAGGGAAAAAUAUGAUCCAUGGGAACCCUUUUGGACAACUCUUUGUGAGGCCUCUUCAUCUUAUCAGGAGCUUGUACAUUAUAGAUGUAAGAAACAAUACUACGAUCUUUGUAAAUUUGGAAAAUAAGCUCUCCGAUUGUGAAUAAACAUGUAUUUGCGGC